AUUGAACGCUGGCGGCAUGCUUUACACAUGCAGGUCGAACGGCAGCGCGGGCUUCGGCCUGGCGGCGAGUGGCGAACGGGUGAGUAAUGCAUCGGAACGUGCCCAGUAGUGGGGGAUAGCCCGGCGAAAGACGGAUUAAUACCGCAUACGACCUGCGGGUGAAAGCGGGGGACCGAAAGGCCUCGCGCUAUUGGAGCGGCCGAUGUCGGAUUAGCUAGUUGGUGGGGUAAAGGCUUACCAAGGCGACGAUCCGUAGCUGGUCUGAGAGGACGACCAGCCACACUGGGACUGAGACACGGCCCAGACGCCUACGGGAGGCAGCAGUGGGGAAUUUUGGACAAUGGGGGCAACCCUGAUCCAGCCAUGCCGCGUGCGGGAAGAAGGCCUUCGGGUUGUAAACCGCUUUUGUUCGGGAAGAAAUCCUCUGGGCUAAUACCCCGGGGGGAUGACGGUACCGGAAGAAUAAGCACCGGCUAACUACGUG
rnacentral:rRNA from 1 species